AUUGAAUCGCCACAUCAAGCAACUUUCGGUUUAAGUCCUGGAUUUCCCCUUGUUUUGUGAGAUGAAAAACAAAAUAACAUAUUGUUCUGUCACAGUGGAUUUAGGCAGAGAAAGGAAGAGGAGCUGACGUUUUUUUCCGGUUGGGACUUAUGAUUAAAAGCCACUCAGAGGACAGUUGAUAAUGAGUGUCUCACUGCUGCUUGCACAGUCCAUUCCUCCAUCCCCACUGAAGUGCCCUUGUUGCCACCAGGCUGGGGCCAGAAAGGUCAAAGGCCAUCGUGCUGUGUGUCAACGCUGCUCCGAGGCUCUGCACCGUGUCUACCAGUUCUGCUGGGCCUGUGGGAGGGAGUGGCCUCAGUCAGGAGAAACCCUGGAGGGCCAUGGGAGCCAUUCCUCCUGCCCUCUGCCAGGCUGUGCCCUCAGGGCUGCCCUCCUCUCCCCAGAGGUCAUAGCUGAUCCCUGCAGUUCAGCCAAGGGAUGCCCCUUCUUCAGGGCCUGUCCUGGCUGUAAGGCCCUCCUCACUCACACUGGAAAGGGAUGCCCCAAUAUCGUCUGUCCACACUGCCAUAAAGUGUUCUGCUUCCGCUGCUUGAAGUGCUAUUUUGAGUAUGAUUAUUUUUUGGAGUCCCAUCUACAAUGCACUGUGGUGGGUAACAGUCAGUCUCUCAGAGAGUUGGGAAUGUAGAGGCUAUGGCAUAUGGUCUUUUGAACAUUAAUUAAUGCCUCAUUCAUUAUCACUUGCAAAAGGAAAUCAUAUUGAUUGUAAUUACUCAUGGAAAUAUUACACAAAUUAUAUUGUACAAAGACAGUAAAUUGCUAGGCUUCAUUAUUGUCAAUUUCUCCUCAGUCGUCUGCAUGCUACUCAAGUAAAAUAUUAAUUAAUCCAGAAAUUAUAAUUUGUGUUCUGAGACCAGUCAUGAGUUUCUGAAUAUCAGUGGGGAGGAGAUAGACAUGUUUUUGUGGCCGAUGAUGGGUUGAGGAAUCAUAUCACAGACAGUCUAUAAUCAGGUGGCCAUUUAUAAACGCUCCUCCCAUACACAGAUGGUGAAACCUCCAUUCCAGUCUUAUUACACCUGACUAGUGUUCUGAGAAUGGUCAUAUUUUUGGCCUGACACGUCUAUAUACAGCCAUGUUAUAACUCAAUCAUACAUAACUGACACCUGGUGGUGGCACUUUAAAUAGCCGUUACAUCUGAUCUAACAGGACGUCACCACGAUUUUUAGCACAGGAUUAUUUGCUUAUUAUGGAUUUAAAGGCAUCUACAUUUAAUCUGCACGCUUAUUACUGCUGGAAAAGAGAAUUCAACAUAAAAGUCCCCCAUUGAAACGAAUGCAAACAGAUUAAAAAAAUUGGAAGCAUGCCACAAUUGGACUAGAUAAUGAAUUUGUAGGUUGGAAUGUUGUUGAAUAAAUUCAAUAAAAUAUUAUAAUUAGUUAA